GUCGCUCCUUGGACAUCCGAUAAAAUUGAAACGAUACAGAGAAGACUAGUAUAUGGGCCCUUGCGCAAGGAUACAACAACAACAAACAGUGUAUUCCCGUACUGUG
rnacentral:snRNA from 1 species